rnacentral:lncRNA from 1 species
UUUCUGCCUUCUGAACAAGACGCUUCCAACUGAUCCCUACCGGGUAUUAUCCAUAAUGCUUUAACCAAAGCGCAAACGAUCAUGCCAGACGCAGUUGUUCGUUUCAAUCCCUCUUUUGCCUGGACCGCCCUUUCAGGUUUUCAGUCCACCGGGAUACCCAUUUUUGCCCAAGUCGCCUUUUCAGGUUUUCGACUUGCCGGGUGUACAGUUUUUUCUUUUAUCCCUAAUUUUUG